rnacentral:rRNA from 1 species
GUUGGGUUAAGUCCCGCAACGAGCGCAACCCUCGUUCUAUGUUGCCAGCACGUGAUGGUGGGGACUCAUAGGAGACUGCCGGGGUCAACUCGGAGGAAGGUGGGGAUGACGUCAAAUCAUCAUGCCCCUUAUGUCUUGGGCUUCACGCAUGCUACAAUGGCCGGUACAAAGGGUUGCGAUACUGUGAGGUGGAGCUAAUCCCAAAAAGCCGGUCUCAGUUCGGAUUGAGGUCUGCAACUCGACCUCAUGAAGUCGGAGUCGCUAGUAAUCGCAGAUCAGCAACGCUGCGGUGAAUACGUUCCCGGGCCUUGUACACACCGCCCGUCAAGUCACGAAAGUUGGUAACACCCGAAGCCGGUGGCCUAACCCCUUGUGGGAGGGAGCCGUCGAAGGUGGGACUGGCGAUUGGGACUAAGUCGUAACAAGGUAGCCGUACCGGAAGGUGCGGCUGGAUCACCUCCUUU